rnacentral:rRNA from 1 species
CCGCAUCUGUGCAUGCAGCAUAUCAAUAAGCGGAGGAAAAGAAACUAACAAGGAUUCCCCUAGUAACGGCGAGUGAAGCGGGAAGAGCUCAAAUUUGAAAUCUUAAAGGGUUUCCCUUUACGAAUUGUAGUUUAAAGAAGUGUUUUCUGUUGAGGUUUUGGUAAAAGUUCUUUGGAAUAGGACAUCAUAGAGGGUGAGAAUCCCGUAUUUGACCUUUACUUUCAACUUUGUGAUACACUUUCAAAGAGUCGGAUUGUUUGGGAAUGCAGUCCAAAAUGGGUGGUAAAUUUCAUCUAAAGCUAAGUAUUGGCGAGAGACCGAUAGCGAACAAGUACCGUGAGGGAAAGAUGAAAAGAACUUUGAAAAGAGAGUUAAACAGUACGUGAAAUUGUCAAAAGGGAAGCGUUUGACACCAGUGUUGUUUUUCUGAAAAUCAAUUAAAGAACUGUUUAUGCUAAGCUGUUUAGACUUUAUCAGCUAACUGUUUAGUUUUGAGCUUUUCUUUAAUGCAGCUUUUCAGUUAACAAGUCAACAUCAAUUUCUUUUGCUGUAAAAAAGCUUGAGGAAGGUGGCUUGAGAUUCGUCUUAAGUGUUUAUAGCCUCUUGCCUAUGCAGUCGGAGAGAUUGAGGUCUGCAGCGUAGAUCCUUCGGGGCUGAAAUGCAUUUGUGCUAAGUUAUAGCAUUUUAUAGACAACUUGUUGACUAUGAUUUGUCUUGUAGCUUACUCGCUUAUGUUAUUUUACCUACGCUUAGGAUGUUGAGUCAUCACACAUCUCU